UACGUAGGGUGCAAGCGUUGUCCGGAAUUAUUGAGCGUAAAGAGCUCAUAGGCGGUCUGUCGCGUCGGAUGUGAAAACCCAGGGCUCAACCCUGGGCCUGCAUUCGAUACGGGCAGACUAGAGUUCGGUAGGGGAGACUGGAAUUCCUGGUGUAGCGGUGAAAUGCGCAGAUAUCAGGAGGAACACCGGUGGCGAAGGCGGGUCUCUGGGCAGUAACUGACGCUGAGGAGCGAAAGCGUGGGGAGCGAACAGG
rnacentral:rRNA from 1 species